rnacentral:rRNA from 1 species
GGCGGCGUGCCUAAUACAUGCAAGUCGAGCGGACAGAUGGGAGCUUGCUCCCUGAUGUUAGCGGCGGACGGGUGAGUAACACGUGGGUAACCUGCCUGUAAGACUGGGAUAACUCCGGGAAACCGGGGCUAAUACCGGAUGGUUGUUUGAACCGCAUGGUUCAAACAUAAAAGGUGGCUUCGGCUACCACUUACAGAUGGACCCGCGGCGCAUUAGCUAGUUGGUGAGGUAACGGCUCACCAAGGCAACGAUGCGUAGCCGACCUGAGAGGGUGAUCGGCCACACUGGGACUGAGACACGGCCCAGACUCCUACGGGAGGCAGCAGUAGGGAAUCUUCCGCAAUGGACGAAAGUCUGACGGAGCAACGCCGCGUGAGUGAUGAAGGUUUUCGGAUCGUAAAGCUCUGUUGUUAGGGAAGAACAAGUACCGUUCGAAUAGGGCGGUACCUUGACGGUACCUAACCAGAAAGCCACGGCUAACUACGUGCCAGCA